UGAAGAUUAUAAAAUUGCAUGUUAUAGUAACCUCACUGUCAUCCAAAACAGUCAUAACAAUUAUAUGCAAAAUGUUGAUAUUUCUCAUGUUUUAUACAGCUUAAAGAGCGUGGGGUCAAUUUGACAGAUGUGUACAACAUGUAUAGAGGAGAUUGAAAACACAUCAUCAUUUUAAUUUUAUGGUUACCCAGUUGUACCCUUUAAAUGAUAAAAAGUCACAAAAUGUGAAGCAAAACAAUUAUGCUAAUCACAUAUUUAGAGACAUCAAACAACAUUGCAUAUUAUGCUGGACUUUAAUGUGAAAUGUGAGUAUAGUUUGGGUUCAGUACAUUCUAUAUUACUGUACAUGUCACUUCACAUUAAACUUCAGAUAAUCAUAGAACACAAACUUUUCACACAGGGUAUUACUACAUAAAACAUUUAGAUAUGUAGAUUUUUGUUUUUCAAUGUAAGUUGCAACAUAAUUAGUAUGAAAAAAUAGUUAUUUUUCUAAAUGUCUGUAUGUCAAUUGUAAUUGAAGGGGAAAAAAAAUAUUUGUGAGGGAGGUUGAAAUUAACUCACCACAUUAAAAUUAAAGGUUGUUUUGAUUUGGGUUGACUUGUGCUUGGCAACUGCUAAGCACAAGUCAACCAGCCCCUUUCUGUCCACGAAGGCUGGAGAAAAUUCAGUAGAUAUUGAAGUUGCAUUUCAAAUCUGCACAGAUAGAUGAGCUCAGCCUUCUUCCAGGUACACUGAGAUCAUACCAGUGUCCUAAACUUGUGACUGAAAGUAGGAGUAAAGUUAUUAAUUAUUCAAUUAAUUAUUUAAAUACAAAAGGCAAAUUGUUACCUGUCAAGAAGGAAAACACAUUUCUGCUGUAUGAAGAUGUUUUGAGUUCUGUCUACCCUGCUUACAAUUGUGGUUAUAAACCACUACCACAAACAAGUUAUCCCACUAACUAUAUGAGAAGUGUAAAGAAGCUAACGUGAGUAAGUAGAUAAAAAGUGCCAACUUACUAAACAAAAUUCAAAGAGAAAAAUCCUCCAGAGCAUUUCAAGACUGCAAUGUCAGCUCAGUUUACAAUGCUGCAUUAAACACAUCUGCAGAAAACUCACAAAACGUUAUUGUGACAAUACACAGAAUUAAAAUAAUAGCACUCAUGAACUAAGUUUUCAAAUACUGGAUAAUAAUGGGCUGAAUCUUUUUUGUUAUUUCUUAAUAUAAUUUGUUCCCUGUUUUGACACUCCCUGCUCCUGUGCUGCAUGCGACAUUAGCUAAACUGUGUGACUGACUAUUUGGCUUACAGCAGAACAGAACCAUGUCUAAUAUGUGAACUUUUUUUGUUCACUGACAUAGACCAGAGGUAUUGAAGAAAUAACAUCAUGAUGAUUGAGAUUGAGAAAGGAUAUAAAACUAGCUGAUAUUUUGUUUUUAUGCAGACAAAUGAGUCUACCUGUUACAGCUGUUACUGGUAUAGUAAACAUACAUAUCUGUAUUGCCUGUUUAAAAAUGCCAUUCAGUACUACUGAUACUUAUACUGUGGCUCCUAUAUAUUCUAUUUACAAUUAUGUUGGAAGCAGAAAUCAACAUUCAGGUAGAAUUAUUCUGUACAAAGCAUACACAUUGUUUUCUCUGGGUAGAAGAGAGCAGGUCAUAUGAGUUGAAUGAAUGGAUAAAACUAUGCAUGAAUUGCACCAGGUUCAGGCCACCAUGGGAGAUGCUGUAUGAAAGCAGAUGAGAUAAAACCAGCUGUCUUACAGAUCCUCCUGAGAACUAUUAAUAAUGAAACAACAGGCUGGUUUGUACAGAUUCACGUAUCAUGAAAAUGGCUUUUUAGUUGAUGUUACAGGCCUUUUACCUGUCUGUUCAGUUUAUAUUUAUGCAGGAUUUUGUGAAAUACACAGUGGGGGGGACUCUUUGCCCUCAUGAAGAGGUUUUCAGUUGCUGGUGGAAACUAGUCUUUGGUGUGUGGACAGCCAUAUAUGUGUGGUCGUCACAGCCAGAGAGGCUCUCUAGUGGAUAGUUUGCUGAUUUUUCUUUCUGUGUUAUGUAUCGUUGCUGAAUCUUACAUUGAAUCUUGGUUUUGGUUUGGUACCUGUCUGUUUUUUUUAUAGCAAAGUCCAAAUAUGCAAGAUUUAAUAAGUAAAGAAAGAAUAAGAUUUAAGGGUGUUAGGGAAGAAGAAAAUGGCUCAAUAAUUUAUUUGAAGUCUGUAGAAUAGUAUAGGUGAGAAUAUUUUCAUUUCACAAUGAAACGAGUACCCUUGUGUCUAUAUCAAGUUAGCCUUUACAAGAAACUGAACGUCCAUUGCCUCUCCAUCUGCCAUUAUUUGCAAUGCUGAUUGAUAGAGCUUUCUCUAACCCCUCCAUCCCAGACUUCAACUGUGGUUUGCUGCCUCUUUAUUUAUGUCUCCCUUUGGUUUCUGGUUGGCUUUUUCUCCUCCGCUCAGCUUCUAUCACUUUCUUUGUGUCUCUCUGUAGACUGUGAGCUGAUACCAUCCUUUGAAAAGGUAAUGAUCCCACUGUGUUGAGAUUAUGUAUGUGUGCUGCACAGUGUAAUGGCCUGGCUUUUUAUUGCUUGCCGCAUACUAAUCCCACAACUGAAGGAAUGAGAUGACACCUGCAGGGAGCUGUGUGUGAGCGGCAGCCUCACAUGAAAGAAUGGCCAUUAAAAAUGAUCAAAGAAAUUACUGCACUCGGCUGCACAACACUGCUCUCACGCCUGGCUAGGUGUACAGCCCUCUGCCUCAGCAUGCACGCACAUAUACACGCAUGCAUACAUGGCCUCACGCUAAUUAGUAUCUCCCUCUGAUGGAUAUUUUCCAAGUGAUUCUCUGUGGAAAUGUCCUGCACAUAGAUGCCUUAGGCUCACUGCCGUCGGUGCACCCACGCUUGCAGAUAGGAAAUAGAGGACAUGCGUGUGUUGAAAAUGAUACUCGGCUUUCUAUAGCCCUACCACAAAUUAUUCAUGGAAACAUUACAACAAGUGUGUUAUUGUCAUUUUCUUGAAGGGCAUUUUGUUACAUUAAGAAAGGUCAGUCAUUGAAUUUUAUUUUACACAUUUUACGCUGCUUUAAUGACCAUGGUCUUUAGGUGUGCAUUUUAGAAUUUCAGUUCAGCAUACUGGUCCUUUUGUCAGGAUAUCUGAUGCCCUUCCUGAACAGUCCGUCUAAAUACAUCAGUUGUAACUCUUACAACACUUUUUUUUUUUUAAAUGUCACUGUUCACUAGCCCUAGGUGUUUGUUUGUAUAGUCCUUCUCAGGUGUCAUGUGCCUACAUGCCCUCUUCACCAGAUGUAGCACUUCUGCCUCCAUGUCCGGUGUGUGAGGUGACCCGGUGUGAGCCAGGCAUCUGCUCUUAUCAGUGGGCUUUUUUCUUGGCUAUCAGAUAACAAAUAACAAAUUCAGUCUUUGUGUAGAUACACACUGAUGUAAGGCAAUCUAUUUCCUAUAGAGCCUGGAUUAAAAACUCUUUUAUUUUGUCAAAGGCCUGGUCAUCAAUGGCAACUUACUAUCCUUUCAAAAUCAAUUCCUUUUGAACUGAUACGAGUGAUCUCAUUUAUGAUGAAGGGAUUUAAGAGAUGGCACUUAAAGACAAGCAAAAAAUGCCAAAUUCUCAUUGUAAGUGAAAAGUAAGUACUACUGUAUUUAUUAUUUUUUAUUAUCGGUCAUAUGCUUGUCAGUGCAGAGAGAAUGUGGUUAUCAGAGGGAUCCACUUCCCUAAGAGAACCUUUUCUUAGUACUCCUCCUUUCUCCCCAUUAGCCCCUCCCUUUCUUUCCCUCAGCGGUCCAUUUUAGAACCAUGCGGGUGCAUGGUUUGGUGGGUAAUUUCACUGCCUUUUCAUGUGUCGGAGGGCGAGGAAUCUUCCUCCAUUAGGUAGUGCCAUCUUGUGAUGUAUGAUGUAUGCACAGAAAGGCAAUCCAAUGUUUAUUCAUGACUUUCAAGGCAAUGCCUCAGCUAAGCCCUCUGAUUUCCUUUUAAGGAACAAAACUACGUGAGAUUGAGACUUCAGUUUAAAGGCACACAGACCGUCCUGCCGCUUUUUCUACUUUGCUCUCCUCCUCUCUCUCACACACUCAUACUCUCUCUCACUCUCUCUCUCUCAUCUCUCGCCCACAGCUCUUUUUUUUAUCUCUUUUAAAUUCUCCCUCGAUAUUUUUCUGUCAGAUUUAAUUUAUUUGACCCUUAGAAAAAAGAUCACAUGCAGUUAUUUCCUUCUGAUUUUAGCACUCUGUCUCCCCAUCUUGCCUCUAUACUUAACUAAGGACUUUGAUGAAGAGAUGAAUUUGGAUCAUUUUUAUGGUAGGCUGGCAUGCUAAUGAGUCUAAAAGGCCUUCUGAUCACAUAUGACACACACAAAAUAUGCAGCAGUGUAGUGUGUAUGUGAAACAGCUAGGGCCAUAUUGACCUUAGUGGACAUAUUCCCAUCACUACACAAACAAUGAUAACUGCAUCAGCCAACAGACAUCACAACUGCAAAUCCAAGGCUUGUUUUGUAAUUUUAUUAAAUAUGUUUUAAAGUAACAAUUACUCAAACAUGCCCCCAUUUGUUUUGUAAAUUACUUUUUAAUGUUAAUAAAGCAGUAUCUAUCCAUCAUACUGGCACAACUCCAUGCUGGUUGUUGAUGGGACUUCUCCUAUUAACAAGUGAUAAUUAUUAAUAUGCUCAAUGACCACCAUUCAAACAGCAAAUGCAUCAUAAUGAAUGAGGGACCUGCUGCUUGACUAGUUUCGGAUGUGUACAUCUAUGAUAGUAGAUCAGUCAUGCAGGGUAGUUGUGUUUCGUGUUACAAUGUUGCUAGGUUGAAAUGUGAAAUCCCAUCAAGGCUUGAGACUAUGAAGUAAACUAUGAAGUUUGGUAUGUCUGCUGACUCAUGGUUUUACUAAAUUUACAACCUAGAUGCCUGGAAUAAGGGCUAGACACACAUAGAAUGAAGGAAUUCAGUGUGUAAACCAGGGAAACUGUAGAAGCUAGACCUGUUUACUUGGUUUUUGAAUGUUUAGCUUGGGCCACAUACAAGUCCGUCCUCUAUCAUCUCAUGUUUGAUUUGAAUAGCUCAACUGCAAUAUGAUCCUGUUACAUUUUUCUGAUGCACUGUAGCAUUAGUGAGGCAAAUUACUGCAUUUUGUAUUUAACAUUUGUUAUACUGCACUAAUAACCAUACACUGUUGCCUUGAGUGAUGCAUAUUCUAACCUUAUAUGAUAAAUAAUGCAAAUGCAGCAACCUCUGCAAAUGCCAGAGAAAAUUAGGUAGAAGGGAGGGAGAGGGCAAGGGAUUGAAAGAGUAGAGAGUGGAGAAUGAGAGAGCAGGAGCUAGCAUAACUAACUGAUUGUUGUGCUGUCAAAUUGAUUUGCAUGAAAAAGGCAGGCCUAAUUGCAACACUUAGCUGCAACGUACUGAUAAUACAGAGCAGGAUUACAAAAGGACAUGGUAGAGCUUUUAUUGAGAAGGAUUUCCUGGGCGUCUUUGAGAGAUGCACCACCACCUUCUGUUUCUGUGGGGGCCAUUCAACGCAGUGUGUCCCUAACCUUGUCUUGUUUGACAUGACAUAUCCAUCAUACAAAUGCAUGCACAUUGCUGUCUCAGCAUCCAUUACUGUAUAAAUCAGCCCCAUGUUUUCUUCUUCUUCUUCUAACUUAUGAGAACCUAAUAAGUUUGGACAAAAAAAUCUAAUUAAUUUUUUUUUUUUUUUUCAAAAGAGGCUGCCAUUAUAUUAGACCCGUACAAAUGGAUGCUGGUUUUUCGAAUUAAGAUAUAUACUGAUGAGCAAAACGUUAUAACUAUCAGUCUAAUAAAUUUGUGUGCAGCUAAAACGGCUCCAGCCUGCUUGGACAUGGCCUUUACAAGACCUAACUGAAGGUUUCUGUGGAAUCUAACGCCAAGAAAUAAAUAGCACAUUCUUUAAAUUCAGCAAGUUGGGAGGCAAUAUAGAUUAGAGCAACAUGGUCUGUCCCUCCUUUGACCGCUGUCAGUGGCUACUGAUAAUCGCUGACUUACUCAGGUAUUUGACAUAUCUGAUACAAGAAUUGUCUGAUUACAGGGCUUUACCAAGCACCAAUCUCUAAGGGACAAAGAUGUAACCAACAUGGAAGUCCCAAAGACUGUCAUUCAUGAAAGGGCCACUUGAGGAAAGUUAGUCCCAGUGGACAUCCUUGUCAAAAUGACCAACUUUACAGCUUAAAUUAACAUGUUACGGCCUGGUAUCAAUGGCCAAUUUCCCCAUGCGUGUCAGCGGGGAGUGAGUUUUCAUGUAACACAUUUGUUUAAAUGACGUCAAGAGUUGUGGUUAUGAAUAGUUAUAUUGGUCCACCAACUUUGAAAGACACGUGGGCAGAUUGCUGUCUGCCUCUGUGUCAUCUCCCUGCCUCAGCUCCACUCAACACUCCAUCUCCACCUCAUUUGCGAAUUAACCAGAAAUUAUGCAGAGUCCUUGACUCUGCAUAACAAUGGCAAUAGCCAGAGCCACUCAAAAUGCAAAAAAAUAAAAUAUCUCUUCAGACAUUCUGUGGGCAACAUUUUCAAGGCGUUUGCCCAGUCAUCGAACUGGAUACUGGAUACACCCAGAAUGUGACCAAAUUGUUGUAACUUGUAGACGUUAUUGAAUUAAUUUAAUAAUAAGGUGUUUCAGUAGGUAAACAGUAAAGUUGUUAGUUCAGCAGUAGGAUUUCAAUUUUAGCUAUUUUGGCCAUAUUACGCAUACUGCAGAAAAUAACAAAAGAAAGCUGGCUUGCCAUCAUAUUGACUCGUUCAGAGGGAGUAUAAAAAGUUACUUGCUUUGAAAGGGUGAGGGUGUGUAGAUGCACAAAUUUGUGGGUGGUGUUUAGAACAGGGCCUCCUGAUGCUGCCAAAGGCAAUACUUCCCUUUCUUCCCUUGAUUUUCUUCUUCAAUCAUAAAUGAUUGAUGUUUCAAAUUAUGAAACAGUGCUGGGAAAAUCCAAUUUAGUUGUGGGCAUUGUCGGGCUUCAUCAAAGGCUCUUCCAUUGCCUUAAUAUUUACAAAGGGGGCCACUAUUGAAUGAUACAAUAUGCCAUGUGUUAAUGUGUCUUUUAACAAAUCAUCUUGUCAUUGAUCUUUCCUUGCCAGGCACUGAUUUACACCCUAUUCAAAAUACCUUUUCUACUGACUGAUUGUUUCUGAUUUGUGCAUGUGUACAUUCAGAAAGGAGCAAAAAGUACAUUUAAAUUGUUGGUUGGAUCCCUCCCAUUUCUAUUUUUGUAGCUGACUCUUUUCGGUGGGGUUUGAUCAUACUAAUGGUUCAAGCUAGAGUCUGCAAAGCAUAUUUUAACAGUGGCAUAUCUACUCUAUGUGUUUUGAUCAUCAGCAUAAUCGGUGCCCAUCAAUUAUGGUCAGAGUGUGUUCAACCUUCAUUCAGAGAAAUGUUCUGUCCCAUUUAGACGUGCCAGUAAACCAUUCUAGUGAGCCAGCAUGCAUAAUAGUGGGACACUGACACAGUACUCCAUCCAGUAGCUGCAGCUCUUCAGGAGAGCAUUAGAAUAGAACACAUUAUUGUCUCUGCUGCUCCAAAUAAGCAAGAAGACUAUAAACUGUAAUGGCUGCAAAAAGGGUUUCUGGGUUCUUAAUGUUUCUUGAGAUUUGAUUUAUUUUUGUUAUUCAGUUUAUUUGAAAGGUCUAUAUAUUUUUUUGACAUUGUGUGUAUGUUGGUUGAAAAUACUGGCUUUAUCAAUGAAUUGGUCUGAAAUUAGAUGUGCAAACACUUGAAGAUGUCUGGAUACUAUUUCAAAAUAUAAGUUAAAUAUAUUAACAAAUUUGCUUGUUCCACUAUUUAGCAACUAGACAUACACCGAUGACCCAAGUGUAUGUUUUUACUGCUCAUUGAAAGCUCAUUCUGCCCAACUGGAAGAUGGCUAGUUCAUUUUAUUGUUUAAGUGUUCAGAUGCAUCUGUUAACUCUUUAUUUUGGCUUUUUGUAUUUGUCUUCUGAAUGUUUGUCUGGUCAGGGUUAGUUACCGUCCUACUUUACUUUGAGCCAACAUUUAAGUUUAUCCUUCCCUUACCCACUGUUGCUCUCCAUCAUAUGAACUUAAUCCUUUUUGUUGCGCUGUCUGAUCCUCUGCACAUCUGUAAACAUCUUGCACUCUUACCACAUGUCGUGAUAAUCAUGCAAGAGCUUAGUAAAAGGCAAAAAAACUGAAUAAGUAAGAGGGAGUCUGACCUUUUAGUUCUUGAAGAAAUGGAUUAAUGUCUAUCACAAUAAGAAAUAUAAGAAAAAUAGCCAUUCCAUCUUAAUGAAACCUUUCUCAAAGCCAACACACAGAAAGGCAAACCUAUGAAAAAGUUCUGGGAAGUAAAAGGCUUAAAAGGCUGUUAGCUUCAAAAGGCAUAUUUCCUCCUUUUGUUCUGGCCUUGAUUGAGGCAAUUUUCCAGGUUUUUCACGGAAAACACUGCUUAAUGUCUUUGGCUUGAGGGAAUAAGAAUGAAAGUGGGACCUGAAGGUCCUUAUUACAAGCCUUUUGUGUCAGUCAUUAUUAAACAAGGCCCGAAUCUACAGUAUUUCCACCCCCCCACCCCUCCCCUCUGUCUUUAGGACCUUAUGUAAGACUAUAGCUUUGUGAGGAACAGACAUUGUGCUAAAGUCUUCUGACCAGGUCUAGUGACCUACAUGAUCAGUGUGUACUUACAACAUUGUUUCAGUUGUUUCACUUGUUAACACAAAGAAACCAUUUCACUGUUGGGAUCAAUAAAGUGAUAAAGUGAUCUUGUAUUAAGGGGCAUCUGUUGACCUGAAUUUCACACGUUUGGUAUUUUGACUCGUAUUUUAUUUAGAAUGUGUGCGUGUUUUAUUCUUUCAAUGGCAUAUUUAAAAAACCAAACCAAACUAGUUUUAAUUAUACUAAUGUUGGUAUCUUUUUAAUCAAGUAUUUAAUGCUUGUUUAAGAGUUACAAAUAUAUGUCAGCUUGCUUGGCUUAAGUUGGCUCUUCCUAUUGAGCAGUUCUCAUAACCCUAGCAGUAUGAUUUGCCAAAAAGUCUUGAAGAAAUUUCUUUUUCAGACCAAUUAAAUCUGUCAUUGCCCUUUAGCAGUAAAAUGUAGAGGCAGCAGAUUUUUUCCACAGCCAGCAGAGGUCAUGUUCAUGUGUGCUUUCCUAGCUCUAUUCUCAUAAGUGCUUCUUGCCUUUUUUCUCAUCACAUUCACAACCUCAGCUCAUUUUGAGUGGGUGGGACAUGGGAGAUUUCAGCCUGACAGGUUGUCUCCUGAAUGUACAGUAAAUUGUGAGUAACAUAUAAUUCUGAGAGGUUCUCAGUGUCACAGGCUCAUGGUGUUUCACCUGGACUUUAGUAUUAUUAGAUGAGUAUGGCAUGUGGGACAGGGAACAUCCUACAGUAGAACCGUAGCUGUCUAUCCAAGAUGCUUAGCUCUGGGAGAUCAGCUUGGCAGCCAUGCUGCAUCUAGACGAUGCCAUCAAAGCAGAGAGGAGGAGGAGGGUAAUGAGGAGUGAACUAAAUAAAAUCAGAAUAUUACAUUAUAGACAGAUGAGCAGAUAAAAACUAGGAUUAAACUGAAGGAAACUGUGGAAGAAUCAUGUCAUUCAUGUGAAGUGAGAAGCAUACACCAACUUUUCCAAGAUUAAAUGAACUUUACCACUUGUGCACAUUCAAGCAGGCAUUUUGUGACCAAAGCAAAGUGCAACAUUUGGCUUUGAUUGUUGUCCACACACUUUAUUUAUUUGUUUUUAUGUUAUUUGCUGCAUCUACAUGAAUGUAUUAUGGCUAACUGGGUAUCAUGUCCGGAGACGCAUGGGUUGAGUCAGCUGGGUGUGUUAAAGUAAAAUGAAAUAAAUCUCAUCUCAUCUUCCAUAUCGCUUAAUCCUCACUAGGGUCACGGGGGCUGCUGGAGCCUAUCGGGCAACAGGCGGGGUACACCUUGGACAGGUCGCCAACCUAUCACAGGGGUAACCCAUAGACAGACAAUCAUGUGCACAUUUGCACACUCACACCUAGGGUCAAUUUAGAGUCACCUAACGAUCAUAUCUUUGGAGGAAGCCGGAGGACCCGGAGAAAACCCAUGCGGACAGAAAAGGCCGAGCUGGGCGGAACUCGAACCCAGACCUACUCGCUGGGAAGCAUCAGCGCUAACCACCUAUGAAAUAAAUCAUAUAUAAAAAAUAUAUUUAAUAAAAUCGCAUAAAAAGAAAUCAUCAAAAGGUGUGAUGUUUUACAAAAUACUGUUGUCCAUUUUUCACUGUUUGCGCCUGAGAAAAAUGCUCUUCAUGCUUUGUGUGAACAGAAGUCAUUGUACUGCUGUUGAUGACUUAGCCCCGACUCUAAGCUUAACCCUGCUAAUGGCCACACUGCCCAGUGCACAACUUGACUGUCAAUUGCUCAACACCCCAAAUACUAGUACAUCCUGAUUGUGCAUUUUGAAGCUGAACACUUUAACCCUCUCUUAAUGUUUUACUUUUUUGUUUAAUAAUUGUAAAAUGCACAAUAUUUCUUUACAGCUGCUUAUUGUGAGCUUAUUUUCUUUCUUCAAAUCAUAUGACAACUAUUCUAACUAAGAGCUAACUUGUCCGUCUGCAGAUUUCUCUACAUCAAGACGAAGACAUAGACUUGUGGUCAAGGCUUUAAGGGAUUCUACAAAUCUCCAAUGUAAAGUAACAUGCUUUCUAAGUACGCCCUUUAGUGCACAGUAUGUCAAAGCAGCCUCUAAAACUAUUAAAGUGUGUGCUGAGGGUGAUGAUAUAGUCUGCAUUACAAAGCUGGAGUGUAAGAGUGGUGGUGUUAACUGUCUGCUAGCGUAAUGAGAGAGUGAGCUGUCAGAGACAUGCAUGUAAUGGCUCCCUUGCCAGCCGCCCAGUUCAGGCCCUGUGGGACAUGGUGCAGACAAACCAUUUCUUUCACACUGUCUCAUCUCCCGCACCCCCACCCCCCCUUCUCCCUCUUUCUCUUCCUUACUUCCUCCAUCUUUCCUGCAGCCUCACUUCCUUUCUGUUUCUCCUUUGUUAAACUCUGACCUGGACAGGGACCAUGCCAGAUCUCUGAUAUCUCUCGUCGCUUUCUUUUUCACACACAGUAAAUCGUACCCUUUCUCACAAUCUCAUACACACAUACAGAAUCUCACAGAGCAUGUAGGACUCAUGAGGGGUAUUUAGUGACUACCUCCCAUAGGAUGGGCUUCUUUGCUCAGUAUACAGUGGAUUUCUCAUGGGCAGUCAAGUCUGCCCUCACUGAAAUGGACAGCUUCUCAGCAGGCCUAGCUGUAGUCACAGUCUGAUGGUACAUCUUCAUCUAUUUGACAGCCAUAGUACGGUUAAAGCACUGUUCUGUUAGUAGAGUGAGUUUGCAGUCUACUUCAUACCAGACAUGUCCUUUGAGUGCAAGGUUAUUUUAUGCUUUAGUUUCACUGAAGACAGUUGGCUUCGCAGCUUUGGCGUGACAUUUUUAAGUCGUACAAUGAGACUACUAGAUAUUCUCUUACUAGUUAUGUUGUGUUCUCUGUUGGAGAUGUUGCUAAUGUGCAGUGCCACAGUCACAUCUGUUGUCUCAAAGAUCAGAUUUCACCAAUUACACAUUCACUCUAUGACUAAGCUUCCUCCUUCUCCUCUUCCCCUCUGCUCUCUGCCAAUCUAUAAGCAUUCAUCCCUAGAGGCUCGCCGUUAUGACAGUUCUUUCAUCAGCCAUUACUGCUGGUGUUAAUGGCAUCCUCAUGCUGACUUUAAAGACUGAUUACCAUAUUGUGUCAGUUGAUUGACAGUUGACCUUCACACCACUUUAUGGAGAGCCAGCCAGAUACCGUGGGUCACCUCGACUGCUUCCAUGACAGCGUAUUAAUAAUAAUCUGAUAGAAUUACCAGGAACCAAUUAAUGUGCAGACCUCAGACAAGACAGUGGUUAAAGAGACAGUGCUAUUUCUCAGCUUGGUUGAGCCAGUUCACACACAUAGUUGCAUGCAUUUCACUGUGGUUAAUUCCCACCAAUUCCGUGAUAUACCAAAAAUGUGAGGAAUCAUGGCUGCGCAAAUGCUUAGGUCAUGAUAUACUCAGUCGUUCAGGCAAACAGAUGACUUAUUAAUGCAAGAAACGAGGCGGGAUAGGAAAAACGGUGUAGUUGAUCUAUAUAUAGGCUUAAUGGCCUAUAAUUUCCUGAAGGAAAAUGUUUGUGAAUUAAUUCUGUUCUUUGAUUUUCAUUAGUCAUGUCAUGUUUAUGUUCACUUACUUCUCAGAUUGGUCCACAGAAUAAAGUUAUAAUGUUAUAGUAAGGUUUUAUUCUGUGGUUCUUUUACCAAUUUUAUUUUAAAUUCUACUGAAAAACCUAAUGUUUUUAAUUACUAUCCAGUUUUUGGUAUGUAUAAUGGUAAAAUGUAUUAUUCAACUCAGUAUGAACACAAUAAGUGUAUGAAUUGAUGGUUCAUAAAAAUAUAUUUAUAUUAUAUCAAGCACAUUACUUACAUAUACUAUUAUAUUUUGUUCUCAGUGUCUUUGGUGGAGCUUGUCACUUGAAACUGACCUCUGUAGCAUGGGUAUGAUAGGUAAUUAAACAUUUUUAUAGGAGGGCGAAGAGACGAGGGUUGUGUUUGUUCAGAGAGAGAUAACAUUCUUAGAGAGGAACUACAGCGUGGCAGAACAGCCCUGCAAUAUUACCUCACGCUGAGCUGCAUAAUAAAGAGGACUUGCAUGCAUAUUAAUAUCAGCACUCUGCAUAAUGUCUACAUCUUACGACAGCCUCAGAAAUACACUGACGCCUCACCGGUAUUGGUUAACCCUUCCUGCUUUGUUUUUUGCGUCCACAUUCUCUCAUACUGGGAGGCAUCUCCCCAAAGCCUGGUCUUGCCCAGUUCAGCUCCUCUGGCCGUGACUGCCAGCCUCAUUCCCACUCUCCACCAGUUCUUACUUCUUAGAAAUGCACGGUGGAGGUAUGUGAUGCCAAACGAUUUUCUCGUUACCUCCCUCCCACCCAGUUGGUUGAAGCGUUUGGAAGAACUACAGCGACAUCUGCAUGUGCCAUGGUUACAAAGCGCCAGGCUCAUACCCACCCACUUCACUGGGCUUUCCCUGCCAGCCUGCUUUCUGUCUGUACUGCCCCCCCCUCCCCUGCGGCACUCAUUUCCCAAAUUACUAAACACGGCUAAUUGUGUGAGGCGUGAAGCUCACUUCAUUUGAAUAUUCUGGCUUGGGGGUGAUUUGUGUUGGAUAGGGUGAGAAUUAAGCAAGUGUGUCUGGAAAAGGGAGGUCCCGCAAUUACAUUCACAGGUCUCUGUGAAGUAGAAUUUUAUCAAUGAAUUGUUGUUUCCCAGGCCGUUAAUGUGGUGCCUCUCUGGGUUAUUGCUUUGUAAGAAAAUGUUUUGUUUUGUUUUUCUUUGUAAUGUGAACUUUACAUUUGGAUGGGCUUUUUAUUAUUAUUCUUUAAUUUUCCAAAUGACGUGUUUCUUAUGGAGGAUUUGUUUAGAAAGAAGAAAGACUCAUCAGCUUCCUUUUACACAGUUGUAGUCAUUACUUGAAAUGAUGAUCAAAUGGAACUCGCACAGUGCUCUUUUUUGUUGUAGUGUGUUCUUUUUUUCUUUUUCAUCUCCAUGUGAUGUGUGUUUGGGGGGAGGAGGGGGGGGGGGUCAUUUCAUACUAAUUAGUCAGAACAUAAUGGGCCCUGUUCAUUUUUGAGGUUAGUUGUGGAGCAUACCUUGGGGAUAUUUAUUUAGUUGUUUUUGUUCUGUUAUAUAGGAAGAUCUUAAGCAAGACAUACAACGGAUUAGCCUCAAUUAUUAUUCCCUUCAAUUAAGUGUUUUUUUCACUCUGUCUCCCAGUCACUUAGCCUGAAUCCAACUCACACCUGCUAUCACCUGCAGUGCUCUACACUUAUUCAUGUAACAUUUUAAGCCCUUGCAUGAGGUCCCAAAAAAAUUAGCGGUGAAUUGUUCAUUCAAACAAGUUUCUAGCAUUGAUGAUAUAAAGCUGGUCUCAGGUCUGGAAUUGCAAUAAUAAUCGUAUUUCUGUUCCAUUCAUAAAUCCGCAAACAUCCAUUAGUUCUGCAUGAACUGAUAUACACUGUAUCUGCGAUGAUUUCUUGCACAGCCUGUAAGGUGCUCAUCCAUGUUGGAAAGACUGAGCACGCUGACUUUUUUUUUUUUUUUUUUUUAAUUAAUGUUGAAUUAAACGAACUGGCAGGUUGCCAGAAACGGGCGCACGUCUUUGAAGAUUGUCAUCGCAUAAUGAGUCGCUUUUUUUCCUCUAUAUAUUUUAUGCUUUUCUGUUUCCACUCCCUCGCUCUCCGCUGCCAUUUGCCCGUAUGCCUUAGCGGUUUAAUGAUAUGCAAAUGAAAUAUGCAUAAAACCAUUCUGCUGUAGGAUGAUUAAGCACAGAAGACAUUAGCCAGUGCCCGCCACAGUGUCUGUUGUCUCUCCUGUAUUCCGCUUCGGCCAGGCACCAACACCACUCAUACAAAGAUCAAUGCCGCUAAUGCACUAAUCAUUUAAAUAACACGAAUAAUAUCCAGUUUGACAGAAGUUAGAAUCCACAAAGGUUUCUUCUCACUCCAGCUUUGUAAGAUCCAUAAAUGGGAAAGGCAGAUGUCUUCAUAGAGAGUUGGUGCUCCAGAGAGCAGGCAGAGAGCAAAGAGACAAGGUUUUCCAAGAGGAGCACUUCAACAUCACUGGCAAUGCAGGAGCUUUUCUCUGCUUGUUUGUGAGUACUGUGGCAUUAUUUGACUACUGGCAUAUAACGAAGGAAGAAAAAUAUCUCCGUUCUUGCUUUCCCUCUCUCUCUCUGUAACACACACACACACACUCCACCCCCCAUUCCAUUCUGCUCUGUCGUGCAAGCCCUCUUUUUUUUUUUUUUUUUUUUUUGUAAUCCAUUUGUGUAAUGAAGACGCUGCACAAUUAACAUCCCCCGUGGAAUUAAAUGAAGGGGUAAUUAUCCAAAGUUCAUUAGCUCCGAAAGAUUAGAAUAUCCACGUGUUUCCCCGUGAUGAAUAUGGAAGAAUACGCCACAAAUUACAAAUGUAAUUGUUAAUCGUAUUUGUUGCGAUCAUUAUUAUCGCAUUUUAAAAUGCCCAAAAUGAUGCCAUCUUUCAAGCCGUCCUUCCUCAGUGGUGGCACUACGGAAUUCAGACAUCUUGGUAGUGCCAACGUUGGGUAGCAAGCACAAAGAUGUUAUAAUCCCUCCCUUUGGAUGACUUCUUUAAUUAUUCAUGUUGUACAACCAUGCCUCCUGUCCAAAGAAAUCCAGGAGAAAAAAAAAAAAUGAACAGUGAUUGUUGGAUGCCAGUGGAUGAAUAUCCAUGCGUUGCUAAUUACCGUUUUAAUUCCGAAUGUGGAUAUUAACUGGGAAAACGAACUUAAUGAAAUCCUCCGUUAUAUCUCUCCAGCGAUGCCCAUCCUUGGCUCCGUGCCCGAUGCCAGCAGACCUCGCUGGAACCACGGAAACGUUCCUCCCGACCCAGAGAGUACCUCGAACUGUGAGUCAAACCAGUUGUGUGCUGGACAUCCUGAAGCAAAGAUCUCUCAGUCGCUGCCCGACCUGCAGAAGAGCUAAAUGGAUCUCGGGAGGACGUGUCGUAUGCGGCAAAAUCAGAAGCAGCUUCAGAGCGCGAGUCAGCAGGCCCAGGAGCUCCAGAGUCAGCUGCAGUUAAUGGGUGUCUGGUGCAGAUGGAUUCAGACUGAUGCACUAAUGGGCUAUCAGCAGGAGUGGAGAUCUCAGGAAUAGGUGAAAAAGAAGAGGUUUCUGAGCUACAGGUGGAGAUAGAUAUAGCUGGAGGAUGAGAGGCAAGAUCUGCAAAGAAAGACAGUGCAGGAGGCUGCCUUGAAGCUUGAGUAAUGAUGAAUCUCCAGACUGGUCAGGAAGUAGAAAGGCUGAGGACGACUGCAACAAACGAAAGAAAGGCACACAUGGACCAUGAUGCAGGAGGGUGUGGAAGCUCAGAAAAUUGCAGUCAAGAGACUCAAAGCUGAAGAUUCAGCUUCUGUGUAUCGACCAGACCUCAGUGACACAGCACCUGCUGGAGACUGUGUCGGUGCUCCGUGAUUUGGCUUCAAGAGGAGUUCUGAUUAGCAGAUCAGAGAGUCUGCAGAAGAAGAGAAGAAUCACUGCCAACCUCUGCCAGCCUUCAUGUUCACGGCUUGUUCCCAGAUUGGUGCAGAGAUGGGAGAGUUUCUGCUGAGGAUUCUGUCCUUGACGGGGCCUCAACGUUGACCAAGCGGCCCUCAGAUGUCAACUUUUUUAACUUUGAUUCUCUGGUUGAGUCUGCCUUUCACCAUUCAGUUAUAAUUACUGAAACCACACAAAAGGCGUGGCUGUUAAACCUCACCAUAAUUUCAUUAAUUUAGUGUAUUGAUUGGUCUCUGGGACAAAAAAAAAGAGAUAUUUUAUCAUUUAGAAUUUUCACUUAUUUGAGUAUUAAACUUGUGUAUUUUUCUUUUGCCAGAUUAGACUGUUAGUUUAAAUAUUUAACCAUAUUUGAGACAUAAAUAAUCCAACACUUUAUCUGUCGGUAGAGCACAGAAUUUGUUCCCAGCUAUUUGUUGUGUUUUGUCAAAAGGUUCUCAAUCGCAGCAAUGUUUUAGUUUCAGCUAGUUUUUAUUGCAUUUCAGCUGAAUAAGUGAUGAGCUAAUAGGAAUAUUGAUUCAUAUUUUAUUAUUAGUUGAUUUCUACAAAAGAAAAGUUGAGCCUUCGUGUUGUGAGUGAAGCAUCUCCUCCUAGAGCAACAGAGCCACAAGCCAAUGAAGCCAAAAUCUUAAUGAAUAUGGCCAGAUAGACAAGAAAUUGCAGCCAAAUAAAAGAAUAAUAAAGGCGUCUAAACCCUAACAAGUCUGCCUUUGUUCUUCCUCUCCACCCACCACAAGCAGGCAUUGUUGCAGCUUUGAGGGCAGCUCUGAGAGUUCCAUGCCCAUCGGCCUUCAAUCACAGGGGAUGUCUGAGUUUGACAGUAUAAAGUCUUUCUUCUCGAACAAAAUAAGACCCCUAAGCAAUAGUGGAUGAGCUGUUAGUAACCGUACAGUCCACAGGGAGGUAGUCCAAGCAUGGUAGUACAGUAUACACAAAGUGCUGGUUAGGGAUAAGACAAUGGAGCAGUAAAAACAUGACUGUAUGCUGCAACACUCGUACAUUUCUUACUAUUUGCCUCCGUUAGCAUAUCUGUCUGUUUUGUUGGGGAAGACUGUAUCUGG